rnacentral:rRNA from 1 species
AAUCAACGCUGGCGGCGUGCCUAACACAUGCAAGUCGCACGAGAAAGGGUAGCAAUACCUGAGUAAAGUGGCGCACGGGUGAGUAACACGUGACUAAUCUACCCUCGAGUGGGAGUAACUGAGAGAAAUACUUAGCUAAUACCGCAUAACACUUACGAGUCAAAGACAGCAAUGCGCUUGGGGAGGAGGUCGCGGCAGAUUAGCUAGUUGGUGGGGUAANGGCCCACCAAGGCAAUGAUCUGUAUCCGGCCUGAGAGGGCGCACGGACACACUGGAACUGAAACACGGUCCAGACUCCUACGGGAGGCAGCAGUGGGGAAUUUUGCGCAAUGGGGGAAACCCUGACGCAGCAACGCCGCGUGGAGGAUGAAA